UUAUGCUUUUUGUUAUAUGAAUUUGUUGGUUGUUCUACGAAUUAUUAUUAUUUUUUUUACUGAUUUUGUAUCUUUUGAUUUCUGUUUUAGGUAUACCGAUCGUGAAGCUUCGAUAAAAACGAGUUUAGACAAACGAGUUGCUGAAGUAAAAAAGAAAGUAUGAUAAGCUGUCAGGUGAAGGUAAUGGACUAUUGACAGAAGCAACAAUGAAACAUGCCUUUGACUUGCCAUCUGUGACGAGUAAUCCAUCUGGUGACUCUAACUCCGUGUCGGUUUGUGACUUCACAUGUGAUGGUAAAGUUUGAUCUCAUACAAGGCAAUAAUGAUUUGCUUUUAUUUUGGGAGUUGGAUCAUCGUUCUCUGCACUGGUUGGUGAUUAUGACAUAGCAAAGAAGGAAGACAACAUUGGGUUGAGAACGAUGGGAAACAUCCUGGUUGUGAUGAACAAAGAUCAGCAGUCUCUGAAUACUUCCGUGUUUAUAAAGGGAAAUGAGAACAGUGCCAAAAAUGUCGAUCUGAUGGGUCAUUCUCAUCAACCGUUUCUCGCGAGAUCAUGUGUGGACUUUUUAAAGAAUUUCUUUGAGGAUGAGUUACAUGCAACUCAAAGUAUAUUCUCAAGCAAAGAAAAAUAUGAGAAGAUACUUGGCAUGAUAACAGAUGAAGAGCUGAGAGGGGAGUGGGAGAAUUCUGCGAGAUCAUCUCCAUCAGAAGAAGCCACCAGCCUUUUAAGGUGGGAGCAGCUUAAAACGCUUCAAUCAAAGAACAACAAGGCUCUAUCACUGCGGACAUGCGUAGAAGAAAUUGUCUUCAACUUUAUAUAUCCUCGAAUUGAUUUGGAGAUUAGUUCUACUCUAUGCUACAAUUCCUUUUCUUAAACCCACGGUGCUAUUAUGGUCUCCAAAAAAAUGAACCAUUUGCUUAAGGCACCCUUCUGUGUCCAUCCAAACACAGGUCGUGUCUGUGUUCCUAUUGAUCCGAAUAACUGCGAUGAGUUUGAUCCAUUAUUGGAAGUUCCAACACUU